UACGUAGGUGGCAAGCGUUGUCCGGAAUUAUUGGGCGUAAAGCGCGCGCAGGUGGUUUCUUAAGUCUGAUGUGAAAGCCCACGGCUCAACCGUGGAGGGUCAUUGGAAACUGGGGAACUUGAGUGCAGAAGAGGAAAGUGGAAUUCCACGUGUAGCGGUGAAAUGCGUAGAGAUGUGGAGGAACACCAGUGGCGAAGGCGACUCUUUGGUCUGUAACUGACGCUGAGGCGCGAAAGCGUGGGGAGCAAACAGG
rnacentral:rRNA from 1 species